rnacentral:rRNA from 1 species
AUUGAACGCUGGCGGCAGGCCUAACACAUGCAAGUCGAACGAGUGGCGGACGGGUGCGUAAUGUCUGGGACACUGCCUGAUGGAGGGGGAUAACUACUGGACACGGUAGCUAAUACCGCAUACUAUCGGAUGUGCCCAUAUGGGAUUAGCUAGUAGGUGGGGUAACGGCUCACCUAGGCGAAGCUCCCUAGCUGGUCUGAGAGGAUGACCAGCCACACUGGAACUGAGACACGGCCCAGACUCCUACGGGAGGCAGCAGUGGGGAAUAUUGCACAAUGGGCGAAAGCCUGAUGCAGCCAUGCCGCGUGUAUGAAGAAGGCCUUCGGGUUGUAAAGUACUUUCAGCGGGGAGGCGGUACCCGCAGAAGAAGCACCGGCUAACUCCGUGCCAGCAGCCGCGGUAAUAC